rnacentral:rRNA from 1 species
GACGAACGCUGGCGGCGUGCUUAACACAUGCAAGUCGAGCGGAGCGGCGAACGGGUGAGUAACGCGUGAGUAACUGCCCCCCUCUCUGGGAUAACAGUUGGAAACGGCUGCUAAUACCGGAUAGUUGGGGAUGACUCGCGUCUUAUCAGCUUGUUGGUGGGGUAGUGGCCUACCAAGGCGACGACGGUUAGCCGGCCUGAGAGGGGGACCGGCCACAUUGGGCUGGGAUACGGCCCAAACUCCUACUGGAGGCAGUAGUGGAGAAUAUUGCCCGAUGGGGGGAACCGUGAUGCAGCAACGCCGCGUGCGUGAUGACGGCCUUCUGGUUGUAAACCGCUUUCAGCCAUGACGCGGUAGUGGCAGAAGAAGCACCGGCUAACUACGUGCCAGCAGCCGCGGUAAUUC